rnacentral:rRNA from 1 species
GGGGUUUGUUGUUGAUACUGAAACAGGCGUGCUCAAUGGAAUACCAUUGAGCGCGAGAUGCGUUCAAAGACUCGAUGAUUCACUGAAUAUGCAAUUCACACUAGUUAUCGCACUUGCUACGUUCUUCAUCGAUGCGAGAACCAAGAGAUCCGUUGUUAAAAGUUGUUUUAUAAGUUUUUUACGCUUAUGUUACAAUAUUAAUUCUGAAUUCUUUUGGUAAAUAAUGAAUUAGGAUACCAGGCCUAAGCCUGACUUUAGCUAGGUUAACAUCCUAAAGACCUAUCCCUAUAAUCUUUAGGCAAUCCCUCAAAACGCUAAACAGUAAAACAGUUCACAGUACAAUUAGAAAUAUGCAUAAGCAUACUCAAAUUAUUUAAUGAUCCUUCCUUCCCGCGUAGGGUAACCUGCGGAAGGAUCAUUAAAUAAUUUGAGUAUGCUUAUGCAUAUUUCUAAUUUACUGUGAACUGUUUUACUGUUUAGCGUUUUGAGGGAUUGCCUAAAGAUUAUAGGGAUAGGUCUUUAGGAUGUUAACCUAGCUAAAGUCAGGCUUAGGCCUGGUAUCCUAAUUCAUUAUUUACCAAAAGAAUUCAGAAUUAAUAUUGUAACAUAAGCGUAAAAAACUUAUAAAACAACUUUUAACAACGGAUCUCUUGGUUCUCGCAUCGAUGAAGAACGUAGCAAAGUGCGAUAACUAGUGUGAAUUGCAUAUUCAGUGAAUCAUCGAGUCUUUGAACGCAUCUUGCGCUCAAUGGUAUUCCAUUGAGCACGCCUGUUUCAGUAUCAACAACAACCCACAUCCACAAUUUUGUUGUGAAUGGAAGUGAGAGUAUCGAUGUAAAAAUUGAACUCUUUAAAACUAUUAGGCCUGAACUAUUGUUCUAUUAGCCUGAACAUUUUUUUAAUAUAAAGGAAUGCUCUAGUUAAAAGACUAUCUUGGGGGCCUCCCAAAUAAAUCAUUUUUUUAAACUUGAUCUGAAAUCAGGUGGGAUUACCCGCUGAACUUAAGCAUAUCAUAACGGGGAGGAAAAUAGGAUCAUUAAAUAAUUUGAGUAUGCUUAUGCAUAUUUCUAAUUUACUGUGAACUGUUUUACUGUUUAGCGUUUUGAGGGAUUGCCUAAAGAUUAUAGGGAUAGGUCUUUAGGAUGUUAACCUAGCUAAAGUCAGGCUUAGGCCUGGUAUCCUAAUUCAUUAUUUACCAAAAGAAUUCAGAAUUAAUAUUGUAACAUAAGCGUAAAAAACUUAUAAAACAACUUUUAACAACGGAUCUCUUGGUUCUCGCAUCGAUGAAGAACGUAGCAAAGUGCGAUAACUAGUGUGAAUUGCAUAUUCAGUGAAUCAUCGAGUCUUUGAACGCAUCUGCGCUCAAUGGUAUUCCAUUGAGCACGCCUGUUUCAGUAU